GUAUGCAGUCAAUUCUGUAUGUUUAAAACAUAGGUUGUUCCAUUCUAAUAAUCUUUGAUGAACAGGGAUCCAGAUCUGGCAGAAAGGAUUGGUGCUGCUACUGCUCUUGAAGUCAGAGCUACAGGGAUUCCUUAUGUUUUUGCUCCAUGCAUAGCGGUUUGUAGUAAUCCAAGAUGGGGUCGGUGUUAUGAAAGCUAUAGCGAGGAUGCUAAAAUUGUGUAAGAAAUGACAGUGAUCAUACCUUGUCUACAAGGAAGUAUCCCUGCCAAUUCCAGAAAGGGAUUUCCCUAUGUUGGUGGCAAGAAGCUCCGACACGGCGUCCGAGCCAUGCUUCCCCGUUUCAGAGGCGCACUAGACACGGACACUUGCCGGAAGCGCACACGACGCGGUGUCGGACGCUGUCUUUUGGGUCAGACACGACCUUCUCUCUGGACGCGGAAAAGACACGUUGCGGUGCUGCAAAAAGGUGGAAUGUGGACGCAGUUGCAGAGUUGACACCGUUUACGUUGCAGGCAAAUUCACAUAAAAGAGAAGACAAAAGAUAGGAAAAGGAAAAUUAAGCAAAAGAAAAAGAAAAAUCUAAAAAG